GUGGUUCGGACACGGAGAUUCAAUGAUGUAAAGUAGGGUAAUCAUAUCCGCUUUACAGAAUUUCACUCUUUCUUUAUUUUAUGUGAUACAGCUCUUCUUCAUGAUCCAUAUGAUCAUAAGCAAAAAAAAAUGUUGGAGUAAGCUUUUGAGUUAAUACUUAUUUGUAAAUUCCCGCGUAAACCUUAAUCAGUGUAAAGCAUGCAUAACCACAUGUAACAUGUAUGUGUCAAGGAAUCCCAAAAUAAGAAUGAAACUAACUAUCCACGACAUACAUG
rnacentral:lncRNA from 1 species